UGGGGAAUAUUGGGCAAUGGGGGAAACCCUGACCCAGCAACGCCGCGUGAGGGAAGAAGGCUUUCGGGUUGUAAACCUCUGUCCUUAGGGACGAAGAAGUGACGGUACCUAAGGAGGAAGCUCCGGCUAACUACGUGCCAGCAGCCGCGGUAAUACGUAGGGAGCAAGCGUUGUCCGGAAUUACUGGGCGUAAAGGGUGCGUAGGCGGCGCGUUAAGUCAGAUGUGAAAUACCCGUGCUUAACAUGGGGGGUGCAUCUGAUACUGGCGUGCUUGAGUGCAGGAGAGGAAAGCGGAAUUCCUAGUGUAGCGGUGAAAUGCGUAGAUAUUAGGAGGAACACCCGUGGCGAAGGCGGCUUUCUGGACUGUAACUGACGCUGAGGCACGAAAGCGUGGGGAGCAAACAGGAUUAGAUACCCUGGUAGU
rnacentral:rRNA from 1 species